rnacentral:tRNA from 3 species
GGGCCGAUAGCGCAGUCUGGUAGCGCGCCGCCCUUGCACGGCGGAGGUCGGGGGUUCGAAUCCCCCUCGGUCCA